UCCCUGGUAGUAUAUGGGUUAAUACACGCGCCAUGUUGGUAGAGUCAUAGGCGCGACAACUGGGUUCGAUUCCCAGCCGGGAAG